UGCAAGUGAUGUGAAAUAUUUCCAUCUGGUUAGUUGUGAUGACAAGUUCAAAAUCAAGAUCGCUGAUGCA
ensembl:snoRNA SNORD24 Small nucleolar RNA SNORD24